AUUGAACGCUGGCGGCAUGCUUUACACAUGCAAGUCGAACGGCAGCACGGGGGCAACCCUGGUGGCGAGUGGCGAACGGGUGAGUAAUAUAUCGGAACGUACCCGGAAAUGGGGGAUAACGUAGCGAAAGUUACGCUAAUACCGCAUAUGCCCUAAGGGGGAAAGCGGGGGAUUCGCAAGAACCUCGCGUUUUCGGAGCGGCCGAUAUCGGAUUAGCUAGUAGGUGAGGUAAAGGCUCACCUAGGCGACGAUCCGUAGCUGGUCUGAGAGGACGACCAGCCACACUGGAACUGAGACACGGUCCAGACUCCUACGGGAGGCAGCAGUGGGGAAUUUUGGACAAUGGGGGCAACCCUGAUCCAGCCAUUCCGCGUGAGUGAAGAAGGCCUUUGGGUUGUAAAGCUCUUUCAGCAGGAACGAAACGGUGGCCACUAAUACUGGCUACUAAUGACGGUACCUGAAGAAGAAGCACCGGCUAACUACGUGCCAGCAGCCGCGGUAAU
rnacentral:rRNA from 1 species